rnacentral:rRNA from 1 species
UACGUAGGGUGUGAGCGUUGUCCGGAAUUAUUGGGCGUAAAGGGCUCGUAGGCGGUCUGUCACGUCGGGAGUGAAAACACGGGGCUUAACCCCGUGCCUGCUUCCGAUACGGGCAGACUAGAGGUAUGCAGGGGAGAACGGAAUUCCUGGUGUAGCGGUGAAAUGCGCAGAUAUCAGGAGGAACACCGGUGGCGAAGGCGGCCAGCUGGCGCUGACCUGACGCUGAGGCGCGAAGGCGUGGGGAGCGAACGGG